ensembl:lncRNA LINC00237 long intergenic non-protein coding RNA 237
AACCGGACUGGGCUGCGCGCGGAGCCCCCUCUUCCCGUGCACAGUGCGGGGCGAGGCUUGGCGAGCGGUGGGUCUGCGCCUUCCCAAGAAGAGACUGGGGCAGCAUGAAUGUGCUGGAAGAUUAGAGGCUGCUGAUGCUGAAGGAAGGAGAAACGAGGAGGAAGUGUCCCUGUGGACAAGUCAUCUCCCUUCAUUUAAGCCAGGGAAGGCUGGGAGGUAUGAAUUUGAAGCUGGACACGUUGCUGCUCCCCUUAAAGUUUGGAUUAUUUUACUAAAGAAGAAGAGAACAGGUACUGUGUAAUUAAUUGGCAGGAGGAGUUUGCUGCCAUAAACACUUGAUGUGUGAAUCCACGCUAGUUCCCUAGCUUCUAAGCCUCAGUUUACUCAUCUGUCACCUGGGAAAAAAUAUUUGCUCGUUCCUCACUAUUAUAUCAGGAAUGAAUUGUGAAGAUAAAAUGAAAUAGUUCACGUAAAGUGCCCAUUAUAGUUCUGGGCACAUAAAUGUUAAGAAAUGGUAAUUUAAGAAUUAAGGCAUGAAAAUAUGUUCAGCUUUACUAGAGACUGGGGGAAUGCAAACUAAAAUGCCAACAAGAUGUAAUUUUUCUUUCCUUUCCAAAUGACAAAAAUUAA